rnacentral:rRNA from 1 species
CGCUGGCGGCGCGCCUAACACAUGGCAAGUCGAACGAGAGAUGAGGAGCUUGCUCUUCAGAUCGAGUGGCGAACGGGUGAGUAACGCGUGAGGAACCUGCCUCAAAGAGGGGGACAACAGUUGGAAACGACUGCUAAUACCGCAUAAGCCCACGGCUCGGCAUCGAGCAGAGGGAAAAGGAGCGAUCCGCUUUGAGAUGGCCUCGCGUCCGAUUAGCUAGUUGGUGAGGUAACGGCCCACCAAGGCGACGAUCGGUAGCCGGACUGAGAGGUUGAACGGCCACAUUGGGACUGAGACACGGCCCAGACUCCUACGGGAGGCAGCAGUGGGGAAUAUUGCACAAUGGGGGAAACCCUGAUGCAGCGACGCCGCGUGGAGGAAGAAGGUCUUCGGAUUGUAAACUCCUGUUGUUGAGGAAGAUAAUGACGGUACUCAACAAGGAAGUGACGGCUAACUACGUG